rnacentral:lncRNA from 12 species
UCUGAAUAUAUAAAUGACCAGACUUGCUCCUCAUGUUAGUCUAAUGAGGUCAGAGGAGCAAUACUCUGCCAACUGCUCCAAGUGAGGAGCACACCCUGCCAACCACUAAAUACAGCUUCUGAGCUAUAAACUUAACUAUAUGUAUAAUUAUUUGCAGGAUGCAUAAUAAAUGAAGACUACCAGGCUUGACAGGACUAAUAUUAGUGCUACCAGCUGUGUUUUGGCUUGUGGGCUUACAGGGGGAGGUAAUUCUGUCUCUUACUUGGCCCAUUUGCUGAGUAUAUGUGAGCUGCUGUCUGCUUGUGUUCAAAGAACCCCACUUCUCGGACAAGUCUUUACGUUUCCUGUGAUGGUUCCUUGUAGGCAGAGUUGUGCAGGUUUUUAUUUAACUCCAUUUCUGAAAUCUCAGCACUUGAAUUCACAACCACACACCCUUGUUGUCCUUUGCCUCACAAUGCAAAACCAGGCUUCCCUUCAUCUGCAAGCAGCAGUAUCCCUAAGAGGAGAUGUCUGAAACCAAAGUUACCAACUUCUUUAUGUGUAAUAACUCUUGAAAAAUUCCCACCUCCAAGCAUAUUUUCUUGUCCACACCAACUGCAUCAAGAAGAUGAGAGUCUUCUAGAAGGCUUGAAAUUAAGUUGCAGGAUUUCCCGUAAGCCAUCCAGCUUCACAGCCACCAUCAGUUCCAGAAAUGGAGAAUGGCUCAUUGCACACACUUGGUUGGGCUUCACAGGGCCAAGAAUCUUAAAUCCAGUAAACUCCACUGCUAUCUGCACCCAGACUUGGUACUGCACAUACCUCUCCAAGGUCAUGCACCUCCUUAACUGUCUGCAGGGUGAUGACACCAACUCUGGGAUGUGUUUUGUUCAAUUUCUCCCUUCUUAGAAAGUGUCACAGCUGGGGGAGGAGUGCUUUCUGAUCUUACUUGGAUAACUUGGAGAAGAGCCAGGGCUUUGUCUUUUCCUGGAAAUGUAGCUGCAGG